AAGCUAUUAAAGUUAGACAAUUGUAUAUUUUAAGCUUUUGCUGAAUCUGGGAUAAUGAAGGAGGACUACAGUGUAGACCAGUUGGGGAAAGUUAGGGAAAGGCCUUGGUGUUCUCAGAAUCCUUCUGCAAGCUGUCGAGUAUGGGCGAUUUACAUUCUUGUCUUUCCAUUUAAGGUCACACUGGCUGCUGGGCUGCUAGGACCUGUUUUCCUUCUCUAUUCCAGUCUUUUGACCAUCUAUCUUCUUCUCAGAGUCUUUCGGUUUCCUGUACCUUCCUCAUUCAGCAAAGACUUAAAAACUCUCUAACUCUUUACAGAGAAAGGGGCUGAGGGAAAACAACCUGAAUGGAAGUUAGGGCUGAGGGACUUCUCUCAGACUUAGAAGCACACCUCUCAUUUAGAUUGUGUGUUAUCGAGGAGUCGGGCUGGGGUCUUUGGGUAAAGGGAAGAGCUAAUGUCACUGCCACUGAUACAACCACUUCUCAUCACUAAAAUCGACCCUGUGUGCCUAACCUACAGAACAUGUUGGCUACCCACAAACCCCUCUCCUUCCAGAAUAUGCAUUGCAGAGCUCACCUUGUAUCACCAACAGCCCCCUCCACGUGGGUCUCAAACAGAACAGCAGCCUUAUGUCUCCCACCUUCCAGAAAGUGAAAGCAACUGCAAGCAAUUCCUGUUCAAGGCUUGGUGUUCCGUUUCACCUGGGUUCCAGCUCAUGCUAAUGCAGCCUGUGCCACGCAGAGAAGCCGGUGAUGUGAAAAUUUCAGGUUUGCCCUUGUGCCAAGUUGGCACUGGACAUCUGUAUGGCCCUGAAACAAGAGCAAGAAUAAAAUCCCCCCCCACACCCCUCCUUUCUACUUGGAAGGAACUUUUGGAGACAUUGUAUUGUUUGUAGAAAAUUUAAACUUUCA
rnacentral:lncRNA from 1 species